rnacentral:rRNA from 1 species
UGUCGUAACAAGGUAGCCG